rnacentral:rRNA from 1 species
CCCGGAAGCUAAGCCAGGUUGGGCCUCGUUAGUACUUGGAUAGGAGACCGCUGAGUAUACUAGGUGCUUCAGUGG